rnacentral:rRNA from 1 species
UACGUAGGGUGCAAGCGUUGUCCGGAAUUAUUGGGCGUAAAGAGCUUGUAGGCGGUUUGUCGCGUCUGCUGUGAAAACGCGAGGCUCAACCUCGCGCCUGCAGUGGGUACGGGCAGACUAGAGUGCGGUAGGGGAGAUUGGAAUUCCUGGUGUAGCGGUGGAAUGCGCAGAUAUCAGGAGGAACACCGAUGGCGAAGGCAGAUCUCUGGGCCGUAACUGACGCUGAGGAGCGAAAGCAUGGGGAGCGAACAGG